rnacentral:rRNA from 1 species
UACAGAGGUCUCAAGCGUUGUUCGGAUUCAUUGGGCGUAAAGGGUGCGUAGGCGGCGUGGUAAGUCGGGUGUGAAAUCUCGGGGCUUAACUCCGAAACUGCAUUCGAUACUACCGUGCUUGAGGACUGGAGAGGAGACUGGAAUUUACGGUGUAGCGGUGAAAUGCGUAGAUAUCGUAAGGAAGACCAGUGGCGAAGGCGGGUCUCUGGACAGUUCCUGACGCUGAGGCACGAAGGCCAGGGGAGCAAACGGG